AGCAGCCGCGGUAAUUCCAGCUCCAAUAGCGUAUAUUAAAGUUGUUGCAGUUAAAAAGCUCGUAGUUGAAUUUUGGAUUCUUCCAAUUGGUCCAUCUUUUAGAUGAGUACUGGUUGUGUGGGGUCUAUCCGCCUGGUGAUACGUAAUGUCCUUUAUUGGAUGUUGCGGGUAGUCAGGACCUUUACCUUGAAAAAAUUAGAGUGUUUAAAGCAGGCUUAUGCCGGAAUACAUUAGCAUGGAAUAAUAGAAUAGGACGAAGUUGUUUUAUUUUGUUGGUUUCUAGGACAACCGUAAUGAUUAAUAGGGAUAGUUGGGGGCAUUAGUAUUCAAUUGUCAGAGGUGAAAUUCUUGGAUUUAUUGAAGACUAACUACUGCGAAAGCAUUUGCCAAAGAUGUUUUCAUUAAUCAAGAACGAAAGUUAGGGGAUCGAAGACGAUCAGAUACCGUCGUAGUCUUAACCAUAAACUAUGCCGACUAGGGAUCGGGCGAUGUUGUUUCCAUGACUCGCUCGGCACCUUAU
rnacentral:misc_RNA from 1 species